GACUUCAUGGUCGAGUGGUAAUGGCGUUCCGCCUCUCACCCGAGUGUCCCAGGUUCGAUCCCCGGUCGAAGAGUUCA